rnacentral:rRNA from 1 species
UACGUAGGGUGCAAGCGUUAAUCGGAAUUACUGGGCGUAAAGCGUGCGCAGGCGGUGAUGUAAGACAGAUGUGAAAUCCCCGGGCUCAACCUGGGAACUGCAUUUGUGACUGCAUCGCUGGAGUGCGGCAGAGGGGGAUGGAAUUCCGCGUGUAGCAGCGAAAUGCGUAGAUAUGCGGAGGAACACCGAUGGCGAAGGCAAUCCCCUGGGCCUGCACUGACGCUCAUGCACGAAAGCGUGGGGAGCAAACAGG